GUUUUACACAGUAUUUACACAGUAUCUUGGAGCUUGAAACAAUUGAGUAACUUCCUCCAUGCCUCCCAAAAUGUCGCAUUUAAUUCUAAUCAUUUGCAGCUCUCAUAGCCUUGAGGAUCUCAAAGGAUUUUCCGGCAUGAUUCAGCUAAAGCUUACAAGAGGCUCAGCAGAAAAUGUAAGUUUGCAGCUUUUGUUUAAACAACAGUAGCAUCCAGUGAUGAGCAGUAAGUGUGCACGCUCCAUGACUGUCUGGAGACCAGGAGCAAACCGAAGGGGACUGUGGUUAUUUGGGUGGGAAGAGUAAAGUCAUUUACGUAGUGCAUCUAGG